UGGGGGAUAUUGCACAAUGGGGGGAACCCUGAUGCAGCGACGCCGCGUGGGUGAAGAAGCGCCUCGGCGCGUAAAGCCCUGUCAGCAGGGAAGAAAAUGACGGUACCUGAAGAAGAAGCCCCCGGCUAACUACGUGCC
rnacentral:rRNA from 1 species